rnacentral:rRNA from 1 species
AACGAACGCUGGCGGCAGGCUUUACACAUGCAAGUCGAACGGCAGCACGGGCUUCGGCCUGGUGGCGAGUGGCGAACGGGUGAGUAAUAUAUCGGAACGUACCCAAGAGUGGGGGAUAACGUAGCGAAAGUUACGCUAAUACCGCAUACGAUCUAUGGAUGAAAGUGGGGGAUCGCAAGACCUCAUGCUCCUGGAGCGGCCGAUAUCUGAUUAGCUAGUUGGUGAGGUAAAAGCUCACCAAGGCGACGAUCAGUAGCUGGUCUGAGAGGACGACCAGCCACACUGGAACUGAGACACGGUCCAGACUCCUACGGGAGGCAGCAGUGGGGAAUUUUGGACAAUGGGCGCAAGCCUGAUCCAGCAAUGCCGCGUGAGUGAAGAAGGCCUUCGGGUUGUAGAGCUCUUUUGUCAGGGAAGAAACGGUGGGAGCUAAUAUCUCCUACUAAUGACGGUACCUGAAGAAUAAGCACCGGCUAACUACGUGCCAGCAGCCGCCGCCGUAA